rnacentral:rRNA from 1 species
CCUACGGGAGGCAGCAGUGAGGAAUAUUGGUCAAGGGCCGGAAGGCUGAACCAGCCAAGUCGCGUGAGGGACGACUGCCCUAUGGGUUGUAAACCUCUUUUAUAAGGGAAGAAUAAAUGCUACGUGUAGCAUGAUGCCUGUACCUUAUGAAUAAGCAUCGGCUAACUCCGUGCCAGCAGCCGCGGUAAUACGGGGGAUGCGAGCGUUAUCCGGAUUUAUUGGGUUUAAAGGGUGCGUAGGCGGUUUUUUAAGUUAGUGGUUAAAAGUCGGGGCUUCACCUUGAUUUGCCAUUUAUACUGUAAGACUCGAGUUCAGACGAGGUAGGCGGAAUCAGUUCCGUCGCCGU